rnacentral:tRNA from 1 species
GGAGAGAUGGCUCAGAGGUUAGAGCACUGGCUGCUCUUCCAGAGGUCCUGAGUUCAAUUCCCAGCAACCCCA